CGACUAUUCAGACGUCGAUUUCCCCCAGAGCGGCAGAAGUGGAGCGGCGGAGCGGCGGAGCGGCAGAGCGGCAGAAGUGGAUCGGAGCGGCAGAGUGGCAGCAGAGCGGCAGCAGCGCACCGCUCGUUGCGCGUCGGCUGCUCGUUGCGCGCGAGCCUCCGCGGUGACGAGACGUUCCCGAGGACCUACCGACCGACUGCGCUUGGCAAAAAUGGAAAUUAAACCGAUGUUUGGAGUAAAUACUCGGUGCGAAACUAUGAUGCCAUGAAAGAUGUGACGAUAGGACUUGUCCUGGAUGGAGGCGCGACCAACACGACACUCAACCCACCCGGAAGAGAAAGGACCUGAAGAUGAAGGACGUUUUUUCUGGGCAGAAGAAAGAAGAGUUUGAAGGCUUCGCACACACAAGGCGACGAUAGAUAGCAAGGGGAACACUAGGAGAAAACUGUGAAUGCGUGUAAUUCUGGAUGCUGUAGCCAUUACCGUGAACAAGCAGAACAGAGAUGAGUACUUUGUAAGAUGGGGC
ensembl:lncRNA